UCCUAGGUGGUCCAGCAGUUAGGACUCAGCGCUCUCACUGCUGGGGCCGGGGUUCAAUCCCUGGUCAGGGAA
rfam:Ovis aries breed Texel chromosome 5, whole genome shotgun sequence.